AGAAUCACCUUUGUGAUCACACUGGCUCAGUUCGAGGCUGUGAACACAACAGGUGGUAUCUAG
rnacentral:pre_miRNA from 1 species